UUUUUUUCUUUCCCUCUCCCCGAAAUUUUUUUGCCGCAGCAUUCCCCCCUUACCUUCUCUAUCCCUAAGCAUUUUCGUUCCUCUUUUCGCACAAUCUCGCUCACGGAUGCCCGACUACCUCCUAUUUUACCACAACAUCAUCUUCCUCUUCGUCAUUUUCUCCCUCGCGCCGCUCCCGCUCACCCUCAUCGAACUCGGCUUCCCUGCCUCCGUCUCCUCUUUCAAGAUCCAACCCAAGAUCCACCUCCCGCCGACCUCCUUCUUCCAGUGCUAUAAGGACGUCAUGCGGGUGUUCCUCCUCGUCGUCGACCCGCUUCAACUCUCCUCUUACCCCCACCAUCAAGGUGUUACAAGCUGUGAGAAGUGGUGGAAUCUUCAAUUUUGGUAGCAAAAAAUUUAGAGCAGUAUGCGGUGGUUGAGUCUAUCGGUGGUUGUUUACCGCAGACUGAUUUCUUUGAACUUGAAUUGUAGGGUGAUUCUGUAAAUCAUGUCUUCUUCCUCUGUUUUUUUUCCAUUUAGCAUGUCAGGUAUUAAAAUUCCCUUUCCUUGACAAGCUCUCUUGAAUUAGUUCUAGUUUACUUGUUUAGGCAUCAAAGGCCUCUUCCAUUUGAGAUACCAAGCACCCCAAGGUUUUCUUGCGCUCCUUCUCCAUCUCGCCUACUAAAUCUGCAACUAUUUUCUUGUUCAAGUAUCAUUUGUGUUCCUUUCCUUUUAGAUUAAUAUUUGUCAAUUUUCCAUAGUUUUUCACUUUUAGAUCUUUCACGCAUCUAGUGACAAGUGCAGAUUGGUUAGCACUGAGAGUGCUCUCUUUUGUUUAUGAACAAGGAUCAUUAUAAUUUGAUGAUUGCUAUCAUCUUAUUUAUACGAUUUUUCUGUUCUGUAUUCUGUAAAUGGUCUCAUAUGUUGUUAAAAUUCUUUCUAGUUUUCACUCUUGUCUUUCUUUAGGCUCGGAAACAAGGUGGUGCGGACUUAUUUAUAUGCUAUGCUGGGGUUCAGCUGCGGGAAGCUAUUGUAGCAAAAUCUGAUUGGCUUGCCUUCGAUUUUGAUGAACUACUGAUCUCUUUGCAAUAGCAUAAGGUCUCGGAUAAACCUUCCUGAAACUUUCUCCUUGUAUCAAAAAUUGUUCUAUUGAUAAAGUUUCCUAGCAUGCCACCAACGUUCUAAGUAACAUCAAAUGUUUUCCAGGAUUUGACAAUUACAAUUUAAUAUCAACCAGAUGACACGAUAUGGCGGAUUUAGCUUAGGAGGAACUUUUCAAUCUAGCCUUCAACAACAACAAUUGCAUACUACCACAACACAUAGUUUGAGCCUGCCAAGGGUCUUUAUAAAACAUUUGGUUCUCCAUGAUCUGAUGAGCCUGCCAAGGGGGAGCUUGAGUACUGCAGUCCAACAUGUUGUUAUGCCAAAACACCACCACCUCUACAUGUAUUAUAUUCUUCCCCUUUUUUUUUUUGGUGCUUUGCUCACAUACUUUGCUUCACAAAAAUCCAGAAUAUUGGAAAAGAUUGACAUGGAAGAAUUAGCAAGUGAGAAAGAGAAGUCCAAUGAAAUUCUACAAGUUGAAGAUUUUGAUGGGGCUUGAGUUGACAAUAAUUACUUGCAAUCCUACAUGGCAUAAACCACCACACAAGUUUCUAGUAUUUUGACAAUUGUUCAUUAGUUGUAAAUGAAGUUUAUUUGUAUUGGGAUAAAUUUUAUUUGAAUAUUAGACAUGUUUUUUCUUU